AGGAUGAACGCUGGCGGCGUGCCUUAGGCAUGCAAGUCAAGGGGGUCUCGCAAGAGACAACCGGCAGACGGGUGAGUAACGCGUAGGAAUCUACCCCUAGGCGGAGAAUAGCCCACCGAAAGGUGGGGUAAUUCUCCAUAUUCUCGCAAGAGGAAAGGUCUUAACUGACCACCAAGGGAGGAGCCUGCGUCCUAUUAGCUAGUUGGUGGGGUAAUAGCCUACCAAGGCGACGAUGGGUAGCUGGACUGAGAGGUCGGUCAGCCACAAUGGCACUGAGAUACGGGCCAUACACCUACGGGUGGCAGCAACCGGGAUAGUUCGCAAUGGACGAAAGUCUGACGACGCGACGCCGCGUGGAGGAAGAAGGUUUUCGGAUCGUAAACUCCUUUUGCCAGUUCACAUGAACUGGAGAAUAAGCACCUACAAACUCCGUGCCAGCAGCCGC
rnacentral:rRNA from 1 species